CUGAAAUGGAGGAUAAAAUUUUCAGCUUCGUUUGAGUUUCUGUUCAACGUUUCGUUAUGGAAGUGACAGCGACAUGCCGGUUAGAAGUUCAGGCAUUUUGCACAGUUUUUUAUACUUCAACUUCGGCAGGAUCAAAGAAAGAGGGAGAGGAAAGGUCACAUGGGUGGAUAUUGAUGGAUGGACUGUUCCUAUUGGUUGGAGCAUCAAGCUAUGUUAACC